AGAGUUUGAUCCUGGCUCAGGAUAAACGCUGGCGGCGUGCAUAACACAUGCAAGUCGAACGAUGAAACUUAAUUGAUUUCUUCGGAAUGAAAAUAAGUGGAUUAGUGGCGAACGGGUGAGUAACACGUGAGUAACCUGCCUUACACAAGGGGAUAGCCUUUGGAAACGAAGAAUAAUACCCUAUAAAGUUAGUCAAUCGCAUGGUAGACUAACCAAAGAUUUAUCGGUGUAAGAUGGACUUGCGUCUGAUUAGCUAGUUGGUGAGAUAAAAGCCCACCAAGGCGACGAUCAGUAGCCGGCUUGAGAGAGUGUACGGCCACAUUGGGACUGAGACACGGCCCAAACUCCUACGGGAGGCAGCAGUGGGGAAUUUUGCACAAUGGGGGAAACCCUGAUGCAGCGACGCCGCGUGAUUUAGAAGGCCUUCGGGUUGUAAAAAUCUUUUUUAUGGGAUGAAAAUGACAGUACCAUAAGAAUAAGGUCCGGCUAAAUACGUGCCAGCAGCCGCGGUAAUACGUAUGGACCGAGCGUUGUCCGGAAUCAUUGGGCGUAAAGGGUACGUAGGCGGCCUAGUAAGUUAGAAGUGAAAUAAUAUAGCUCAACUAUAUAAAGCUUUUAAAACUGUUAGGCUUGAGAGAUGAAAGGGAAAGUGGAAUUCCUAGUGUAGCGGUGAAAUGCGCAGAUAUUAGGAAGAAUACCGGUGGCGAAGGCGACUUUCUGGUCAUCAUCUGACGCUGAGGUACGAAAGCGUGGGUAGCAAACAGGAUUAGAUACCCUGGUAGUCCACGCUGUAAACGAUGAGUGUUAGGUUCUUGGAAUAAUCUGGGAGCCGCAGCUAACGCAUUAAACACUCCGCCUGGGGAGUACGCACGCAAGUGUGAAACUCAAAGGAAUUGACGGGGACCCGCACAAGCAGCGGAGCAUGUGGUUUAAUUCGAAGCAACGCGAAGAACCUUACCAGGUCUUGACAUCCGGAUAAAGACCUCAGAGAUGAGGGGAUAGAUAUAUCCGAGACAGGUGGU
rnacentral:rRNA from 1 species